rnacentral:rRNA from 1 species
GAGGGUGCAAGCGUUAUCCGGAAUCAUUGGGUUUAAAGGGUCCGUAGGCGGACUAAUAAGUCAGGGGUGAAAUCCAACAGCUUAACUGUUGAACUGCCUUUGAUACUGUUAGUCUUGAAUUAUAUGGAAGUNGGAGAUAGAAUAUGUAGUGUAGCGGUGAAAUGCUUAGAGAUUACAUAGAAUACCGAUUGCGAAGGCAGUCUACUACGUAUAUAUCUGACGCUAAUGGACGAAAGCGUGGGGAGCGAACAGGAUUAGAUACCCUGGUAGUCCACGCCGUAAACGAUGAACACUAGUUGUCGGGAUGCUUGUCAUNUNNGUGAUGCACUUAACAGAUUANNUGUUCCGCCUGGGGAGUCGGNNGCAAGAUU